rnacentral:lncRNA from 1 species
UUAGGCACGUGUCGCUCAGCUAUUCUGCUCUGAACUAUUGUCAUGAUCUCAAUUUGUAAAGCAUGCAAUCAUCAUAUUGAAAGUCUCGCCACUCAUGAUGUCGCUUUGAGAAAUGUAAACACUGGCACAUCUUCCAUAAGUGUAGCAUCCAAAAAUGUCAUGCAGUAGAACCAAAAAGAUAGUUAUAACGGCUAGACUCCUCUCAGCUCCACGAUUCAGCUCUAUAGCUCAUAUUCACAAUGCCCAGGCUAGUUGUCCUUAACUCUUCUAUUUCCUUCAUCCGAGACAACAAGUCAUCUUGGUCUCCAAAGUGAGAGGCAAGUGAGACACCUCAGAACUGAACAUAACCGAUGUGGCUGAACCAAUAAAUCAGAGCUAGCCAUGAGUUGGUUAGGAGGUCUUCAUCUCAGACAAUCCACUCUCACCAUGUGGCUAGUCCAUAUCUCCCCCCAUCUGAUUAUAGCCGAUCCAUGAAAGCAAAUGGUUUCCAUAACUAUUUGAUACAUGGGAAUUGGUGUGCGGGAGAAUCACCAAUGUGAUAUUUUUUAGAUAUGCGAAUGAUUAUCUAAAAUGACUGAUUCACACACCCCAAGAUUUCAUAGUAACAUGUACCGGCCCUUACCUAUAUAAACUACUCUUAGGGGACUUUCUAAGUAAGUGAAGUCUAGAGAAGCCAAGGGAAGCUAAGCUGAGUGGGGUAAGCAGAGUGGAGUCCAUCUAGAUUAAAUCCCAAUUCUUAAACUCUCUAUGCUCCCUAACUUUAAUCUCUCUACCACUCAUACAUAACC